GCUACUAUGGCUCCGUUGGUAGAGCGCAUCCUUGGUAAGGAUGAGGUCAUCGGUUCGAUUCCGAUUAGUAGCUCCA
rnacentral:tRNA from 1 species